ensembl:lncRNA
UUUAAAUAGAUGUUAUUAGAAAUAAAUAUUACAAUGCUAUUUUCUCAUAUUUUUCCAUUGGUGAUUCCUCUUAUAUGCUUAAAAUGGCAAAUAUUGUUUUCUAAAAUGCAAAACAUAUUUACUUACAUUUAAUGUGAAACAUACUGGUAAUUUGAGGCUGUUGUACCUCUGAAUAGAGACUCCUAAAUUUAUUAAUUUUGGAUUAAUUAAAAUUUCUUUGUUUUAUAAGGAGAGAAGACACUAAACUUUUAUAGUUUAAUUGAAAAUGAAAUGUGCUUUGACCUUGGAGAAAAUGAAUGUAAAGAAUAACGAUAAUAGCAAAUAGUGAAAUGGAAAAUAAUAAUAAUAAAAGAGAACAAGGGAGUCAUACUUGAUGGAUAUAUUCAAUUUGUUUCAUGUGUAUGCGUUAUAUUUUUGUAUAUACUGUUUUUUAGGCAGUUGGAUUGUUGGAAGCUGUUUCUUUAUCCAUAAUUUUGAGGAUACCUUUAACUUUAGAAAUAAAAUAGGUUUUUGAAGGACAAAACUACUAGUAAUUAGAAGGAUUCCACAGCCUUAAUGAAAACAAAAAUAACAAAUAUUUAUACAGAAAUACAAACUUUCUAUUAAUGAUGUAAAGUAUAAUGAAAUUUCAGAUUGCUGUUUUUAUCAGAGAUGUGGUAUUCUGAAUCAACAAAUCAUUGGCUUUCGCUUUUAGAAUUCCCUCAUCUCUGCUGAAAAGCAUGAAACCACAUGGUAAAUAUCAAUAACAUCUUCAAAUUUCAACAAAUGUCAGGUCAGAAUGAAGUCCAGAGCCCUCAUCCAGUGGUUGAUGGAAACAGAGACAGACAUCCACAGAUAUACACUGAGCUGAAAUCGGGAAUUUAGUGGAGAGAGGGAGGAAUGAAGAGUGAAGGGGUCUGUACCAGGUUGGAGAAACCCACAGGAUCAGUUGGCCUGAACAAGGGAGAGCACAUCGACCCCAGAUGCUUUCACCCGUCCAAGACUGAUCCAGAUCCCUGAACAUGGAUGUCAAUAAGGAGGCCUCUGCACACGAGGGAGCCUCUGGUGGUGGAUUAGUAUUUUUCCCUGGUGCAAGAAGGGACUUUGAGAACCCAUCCCACGUGAAGGGUUACACUCUGGCCCUGUACACAUGGGGAAGGGCCCAGGACCAGCACAGGAAGAUUUGGUGGACUUUGCAGAGCCCCCGUUGAGGGCCCUACCCUUCCUGAGGAGUGGAUGGAAUUUCAUGCCUGUCCUAUAACCCUCAUCAAAAGCCUGUGGCUGAGACUAAGAGACUAACGAGUCACCUCAAUCAGCCCACCACCACCAAGGCUCCAGGAACAUCAUAGUGGAAUUAGCAGAAAUCAUGUAAGCGCUGGAAGAUCAGAAAGAUUACUAUAAGAGGUUACCAUCUGACAUGACUAUAACACUGAAGGUCACUGUCACUGUGGUGACCUCCACAAAAUCUACUCGGCAUCAAGAGAGACAGAAUUCUGAUCAAAUUCUGAUAUUGAUGUGAUAGGGGAUCAUCAUGUCCCCAUAUGUGGUCCAUAAUAGGUUUUCAAUGAUCCAGUGAAUAGCCUGACACCAGCGGAUGUGUGGGCAACACUAACUGGACAUAAUGACUUGAGAGGGGGCGGGUGGAUGGGAGAGAAACACAAAGUCUGUGUUACAUUAGGACAGAGAUAUGAAAUUCUCAAAAGGAAGACAAAGUUUUUAAAUGGAAAGUCGUCAGAGAUUUGCAAAUGAACAUUUAAUUUUUGCUUCUGGGUUGAUAAGCUUGAACAUGGGAACUUAAUUGAACACCAUCUGUUGAAUUGGACACAUGAUAAAGAGCACUAGUCUAAUUUACCAUAUAUGAACCUGAGUUAUAGUACAUUUUUAUUUUUGUAUAUAUUUCACAUUUUUCCAAUAAGAA